rnacentral:rRNA from 1 species
AGGACGAACGCUGGCGGCGCGCUUAACACAUGCAAGUCGAGCGAGAACCGGGGCUUCGGCCCCGGGGACAGCGGCGAACGGGUGAGUAACACGUGGAUAACCUGCCCUCGGCACCGGGAUAGCCCGGGGAAACCCGGAUUAAUACCGGAUGGCCCUUCCGACUUUCGAGUCGGCUGGCAAAGGUAGCUUCGGCCUCCGGCCGAGGAUGGGUCCGCGGCGGAUUAGCUUGUUGGUGGGUAAUGGACCUACCGAAGGCUUCGAUCCGUAGCUGGUCUGAGAGGACGAUCAGCCACACUGGGACUGAGACACGGCCCAGACUCUACGGGAGCAGCAGUGGGAAUAUGCGACGAAGUGGCGGAAGCCGUGACGCAGCGACGCCGCGUGAGGGAUGAACGGCCGUUUCGGGUUACGUAAACCGUUCUUUACGAGCGAAGGUACAAGGCGAAG